UACGAAGGACCCGAGCGUUAUCCGGAAUUACUGGGCGUAAAGCGAGUGUAGGCGGUUGCCCAAGUCAGGUGUGAAAGCCUUGAGCUCAACUCAAGAAAUGCACUUGGUACUGGGUGGCUAGAGGACCGGAGAGGAUAGUGGAAUUCCCAGUGUAGUGGUGAAAUACGUAGAGAUUGGGAAGAACACCAGUGGCGAAGGCGGCUAUCUGGACGGUUACUGACGCUAAGACUCGAAAGCGUGGGGAGCAAACAGG
rnacentral:rRNA from 1 species